GAUGAGAAAAUGUUGGUACUAACCAAAUUCUCUAGGCAAUACCGUUUCAAUUUCUGCAGGUUAGUAACACUGUUAAAGUAGUAAAUCCAAGGUUUGCAGAGUCGGUUUUGACGUAUGCGCGCGUAUAUGUCAAACAAUAAAUAUUAUAUAAAUGAUUUAUGACAUUUGAUUUAAUAAAUGAAUAAAAAUUACACAAAUAACUAAAAAUAUAGUGCAUAGAGAUGAACAAGACAAGAUUUAUGAUUGAAAUCUGGUUUUCCAUAUUAAAAUCAUUGUCAGCCGAGAAACAAAAUCUGUGCAAGAUAAAAUAGAAACAUAAAGA
rnacentral:lncRNA from 1 species